rnacentral:lncRNA from 1 species
AGUCUGGUGGGGCGUUUUGGGACAAUGUAGUAGCACUUAGUAGGUAACUACCUUGCUGAAAAACACAAAGGCAUUAUCAGAAAUUUAUCAGAUGUGAAUUCUUUAAUACAAAACCAGGCAUUAAAAUGGAUUUUGAAGACCUGCCAUCCCUUUCACUUUUGCAGACUUCCAGGUAAAGGAACGUUUCAGUCGCAGCAGAGACUGAAUCGCCCCUGCCCCAGUACUACACAAAAUGAGCUGAAGAGCAGGGAGCAGAAGGGAAGUUAAAGCAGAGCUGCAGACGACUGUGUCCCUAAGAACAAGGCUCCACCUCAGAACUGGCAUCAAAUAGACUAAACGUUCAUUAAAAGGAAAAUAUUUUGAAUUUUAUUUUUUCACGUUAUUCUCAAGUACACAAUUACAAUAAUGUCACACAUCCCUAUAUGGUUCUAUGUAUUUUGUUUUUUUCUUUUGUCUUUUUUACAAAGUGUACAGAGGGAAGGACAUAUACAAUAUUUAACAGGGUAUUUUCUACAGAACAAUAAUUUAUAUUAUGUCCUUGUAAAAAUCUGUACCUUUUUUAAACAUUAAACUGAAACAUCCAUUUUAUAGCAUUUGCUAAGCAAAUUAUUUAAGAAUUAAAACUAACCUGUAACUAAUGUCAGUACAUUAACAAUAACUAUAAUUUCAUUUUCUCUUUAUACAGACAAAUACAUUUUACAAAAUCCACUUGACCAAACCCUUAAUUAUUAAAAAAAAAGUUUCAACAUUGUGCUUUAAAAAAAAAAAAGUGUAUGAUUCCAGGCUACGUAAGAGAAAGAAAAUGCAUUAAAUUGUGUUCUUUGUCUUUCAGCUUAUUUAAAAAAAUAAAGUUCAAAAUGGCUAAAAUCCUCAGCACUACUAUGGGAAUUUAUGCAGAUUUUGUACACUUUCCAGGUUUCCAGUUAGAAAAUGCUUGAACAUAAGAGAGAAAAAAAAGUAGUCACAGGCAGGUAUUUUGCAAGAAGCGAGUGGGAAUCUCUGCUGGGUUUUACUGCAUCUGGUUUGGCAUCAGCAGGUAACGGACACUACGGCCAUGUAGGAAAUCCACUGGCUUCAGCGAGGAUUUCAAGGAAGGCACAAUGCAGCACAGCCAGGAAUUACACACUAAAGGGUCAUGGCCUGCUAGUAGCAAUAUUACACAAGAGCACACCUGGCAAGUCUGGGGGCACUGCAAGCAGGCAAAGAAAGAAAAAACCAUCCUACAACAUAGGCAGCGACAUGGCAUUGGACUCUCCUGAACUGCACACUACAGACGAGAAUUUCAGCUUACAGUGA